CAUGCAAGUCUACUUGAUCCUUCGGGUGAAGGUGGCGGACGGGUGAGUAACGCGUNCCNGAACUUGCCUUACAGACUGGGACAACAUUUGGAAACGAAUGCUAAUACCGGAUAUUAUGACUGAGUCGCAUGAUUUGGUUAUGAAAGCUAUAUGCGCUGUGAGAGAGCUUUGCGUCCCAUUAGUUAGUUGGUGAGGUAACGGCUCACCAAGACGAUGAUGGGUAGCCGGCCUGAGAGGGUGAACGGCCACAAGGGGACUGAGACACGGCCCUUACUCCUACGGGAGGCAGCAGUGGGGAAUAUUGGACAAUGGACCAAAAGUCUGAUCCAGCAAUUCUGUGUGCACGAUGAAGUUUUUCGAAAUGUAAAGUGCUUUCAGUUGGGAAGAAGUUCAGUGACGGUACCAACAGAAGAAGCGACGGCUAAAAACGUGCCAAGCAGCCGCGGUAAAAACGUAUGUCGCAAGCGUUAUCCGGAUUUAUUGGGCGUAAAAGCGCGUCUAGGCGGUUUAGUAAGUCUGAUGUGAAAAUGCGGGGCUCAACCCCGUAUUGCGUUGGAAACUGUUAAACUAGAGUACUGGAGAGGUAGGCGGAACUACAAGUGUAGAGGUGAAAUUCGUAGAUAUUUGUAGGAAUGCCGAUGGGGAAGCCAGCCUACUGGACAGAUACUGACGCUAAAGCGCGAAAGCGUGGGUAGCAAACAGGAUUAGAUACCCUGGUAGUCCACGCCGUAAACGAUGAUUACUAGGUGUUGGGGGUCGAACCUCAGCGCCCAAGCUAACGCGAUAAGUAAUCCGCCUGGGGAGUACGUACCNCAAGUAUGAAACUUCAAAGGAAUUGACGGGGACCCGCACAAGCGGUGGAGCAUGUGGUUUAAUUCGACGCAACGCGAGGAACCUUACCAGCGUUUGACAUCCCAAGAAGUUAACAGAGAUGUUUUCGUGCCUCUUCGGAGGAACUUGGUGACAGGUGGUGCAUGGCUGUCGUCAGCUCGUGUCGUGAGAUGUUGGGUUAAGUCCCGCAACGAGCGCAACCCCUUUCGUAUGUUACCAUCAUUAAGUUGGGGACUCAUGCGAGACUGCCUGCGAUGAGCAGGAGGAAGGUGGGGAUGACGUCAAGUCAUCAUGCCCCUUAUACGCUGGGCUACACACGUGCUACAAUGGGUAGUACAGAGAGCUGCAAACCUGCGAGGGUAAGCUAAUCUCAUAAAACUAUUCUUAGUUCGGAUUGUACUCUGCAACUCGAGUACAUGAAGUUGGAAUCGCUAGUAAUCGCAAAUCAGCUAUGUUGCGGUGAAUACGUUCUCGGGUCUUGUACACACCGCAAGUCACACCACGAGAGUUGGUUGCACCUGAAGUAACAGGCCUAACCCGUAAGGAGGGAUGUACCGAGGGUGU
rnacentral:rRNA from 1 species